rnacentral:rRNA from 1 species
ACUCAAAUGAAUUGACGGGGACCCGCACAAGCAGCGGAGCGUGUGGUUUAAUUCGAUGCGACGCGAAGAACCUUACCUAGGCUUGACAUCUAUUCGCAACAUCUCGAAAGAGAUGCCUCCUUCGGGACGGAUAGACAGAUGUUGCAUGGCUGUCGUCAGCUCGUGUCGUGAGAUGUUGGGUUAAGUCCCGCAACGAGCGCAACCCUCGUUUCUAGUUAUAUAUCUAGAGAGACUGCCGGAAACAAACCGGAGGAAGGUGGGGAUGAAGUCAAGUCAGCAUGACUCUUACGUCUAGGGCUACACACACGCUACAAUGGUCGUUACAGCGAGAAGCCAACCCGCGAGGGUGAGCAGAUCUCUAAAAGGCGGCCUCAGUUCAGAUUGCACUCUGCAACCCGAGUGCAUGAAGGCGGAGUUGCUAGUAACCGCGUGACAGCAUAGCGCGGUGAAUAUGUUCCCGGGUCUUGUACACACCGCCCGU